rnacentral:rRNA from 1 species
AUACAGAGGGUGCGAGCGUUAAUCGGAAUUACUGGGCGUAAAGGGCGCGCAGGCGGUUUGGUAAGUCAGAUGUGAAAGCCCACGGCUCAACCGUGGAAGUGCAUUUGAAACUGUCAGACUUGAGUACUAGAGGGGAAAGUGGAAUUCCCGGUGUAGAGGUGAAAUUCGUAGAUAUCGGGAGGAAUACCGGUGGCGAAGGCGACUUUCUGGCUAGAUACUGACGCUGAGGCGCGAAAGCGUGGGGAGCAAACAGGAUUAGAAACCCCAGUAGUCC